rnacentral:sRNA from 1 species
CUGUAGCCCUUAUUGAAACGGCAUCCUUUUUUGUGCUAAAUUUAAUUGGCGUCAUUACAAGGAAGUAUGACGAAGUAAUUUGCUUCUUAAAAAUGAGAUUGCCAUAGUUUGUAAAAACAAACUUCGCAAUGACGGCAGCAAAAAAGAUAUAGUGGAAAGCAGGAAAUAGC